GUAGUGGGGGAUAACGUCCGGAAACGGGCGCUAAUACCGCAUACGUCCUGAGGGAGAAAGUGGGGGAUCUUCGGACCUCACGCUAUCAGAUGAGCCUAGGUCGGAUUAGCUAGUUGGUGGGGUAAAGGCCUACCAAGGCGACGAUCCGUAACUGGUCUGAGAGGAUGAUCAGUCACACUGGAACUGAGACACGGUCCAGACUCCUACGGGAGGCAGCAGUGGGGAAUAUUGGACAAUGGGCGAAAGCCUGAUCCAGCCAUGCCGCGUGUGUGAAGAAGGUCUUCGGAUUGUAAAGCACUUUAAGUUGGGAGGAAGGGCAGUAAGUUAAUACCUUGCUGUUUUGACGUUACCAACAGAAUAAGCACCGGCUAACUUCGUGCCAGCAGCCGCGGCAAUACGAAGGGUGCAAGCGUUAAUCGGAAUUACUGGGCGUAAAGCGCGCGUAGGUGGUUCAGCAAGUUGGAUGUGAAAUC
rnacentral:rRNA from 1 species